CCUACGGGAGGCAGCAGUAGGGAAUUUUGCACAAUGGGCGAAAGCCUGAAGGAGCAACGCAGCGUGGGUGAAGAAGGUCUUAGGAGCGGUAAACCCUGUUGAUAGAGAAGUAAGUGCGGGUGAGUAUCUGUUCAUGCGUCGACGGUAUCAAACCAGACAGCCUAGGCUCACGACGUGCCAGCAGCCGCGGCAAUACGUCGGUGGCAAGCGUUAACCGGAUUUAUUGGGAGUAAAGGGAGCGCAGGCGGUCUUUGAAGUGUGAUGUGAAAGCCCUCGGCUUAACCGGGGAAGUGCAUUGGAAACUGGGAGACUUGAGUGCAGGAGAGGAGAGUGGAACUCCAUGUGUAGCGGUGAAAUGCGUAGAUAUGUGGAAGAACACCAGUUGCGAAGGCAGCUCGCUGGACUGUAACUGACGCUGAGGUUCGAAAGCGUGGGUAUCAAACAGGAUUAGAUACCCCUGUAGUC
rnacentral:rRNA from 1 species